GCCUUCUUCUGGCUCCCCCCUGGGGUCAUAGGCGACUCUGUCGGGCUCGCUGGUGGCGCCCGUGGUGAAGGCCAAUGUCGUUGUUGCUCCUCCCAUUCGUAAAAUGGAUGUUGGCCUGCAAACGAAUGUCCACCUCGAGGAACAGGAACCACACCCGAUCCAAAUCCAAAUCCUAGAAGCUUGGGAGGAGCUAUGCAGAGCUGUGCCGGCAAGGCAAGAAGAAAUGGAUUUGCUCCGCCUAUCCUAAAGUUGGCAAACUUGAGGGCAAGUUUCCGAGUUAUAGCUGUUCUGGCCCCCGCUAUUUGGAGAUUGUUUGGUGGUCGGACGGAGGCGAGCCUUUUGUGCCGCAUCCUUUGGGGCCCUCCAAUGUAGGGACGAGAUCUGCGAAACGAGAUUCAUAUCUUUGUCGUGGUAGAUGCGCCA